rnacentral:rRNA from 1 species
AGUGAACGCUGGCGGUAGGCCUAACACAUGCAAGUCGAACGGCAGCACAGUAAGAGCUUGCUCUUACGGGUGGCGAGUGGCGGACGGGUGAGGAAUACAUCGGAAUCUACUUUUUCGUGGGGGAUAACGUAGGGAAACUUACGCUAAUACCGCAUACGACCUACGGGUGAAAGCAGGGGAUCUUCGGACCUUGCGCGAUUGAAUGAGCCGAUGUCGGAUUAGCUAGUUGGCGAGGUAAAGGCCCACCAAGGCGACGAUCCGUAGCUGGUCUGAGAGGAUGAUCAGCCACACUGGAACUGAGACACGGUCCAGACUCCUACGGGAGGCAGCAGUGGCGAAUAUUGGACAAUGGGCGCAAGCCUGAUCCAGCCAUACCGCGUGGGUGAAGAAGGCCUUCGGGUUGUAAAGCCCUUUUGUUGGGAAAGAAAAGCAGCAGGUUAAUACCCCGCUGUUCUGACGGUACCCAAAGAAUAAGCACCGGCUAACUUCGUG